rnacentral:misc_RNA from 1 species
GAUGAAGAACGUAGCGAAAUGCGAUAAGUAAUGUGAAUUGCAGAAUUCAGUGAAUCAUCGAAUCUUUGAACGCACAUUGCGCCCCUUGGUAUUCCGAGGGGCAUGCCUGCUCGAGCGUCAUUACACCACUCAAGCACUGCUUGGUAUUGGGCAUCGUCCGUCGAAAGGCGGGCGUGCCUCGAAGACCUCGGCGGGGUUUCUCCAACUUCGGGCGUAGUAGAGUUAAAUCGAACGUCUUAUAAGCUUGGUGGGACUCCAUUGCCGUUAAACCUUUUAUUUUCUAGGUUGACCUCGGAUCAGGUAGGGAUACCCGCUGAACUUAAGCAUAUCAAUAAGCGGAGGA